UGGGGCCUUAGUAUAAUGGGAUUACGUUUGGCUGGCAGCCAAAUAAUACGGGUUCGAUCCCCGUGGGCUCCAUCC
rnacentral:tRNA from 1 species